rnacentral:tmRNA from 2 species
GGGGCUGUCCUGGUUUCGACGUGGGUACGGAUCUGGAGUGGUGCAUGUCGAGCUUGAGUUACGCUCGUAAAUCUCAAUUCAAAAAACUAACUGCAAACGACGAUCGUUUCGCACUCGCUGCUUAAUACCGGCGAGACUUGCAACAGCACGUUGAUGGGCUGUGCAAAAAAGUCGCAAGACUUCUAGCUGCAAGUUAAUCUACAUCAACUGGUUGGCUGCCGGGCACCUUGGUAGUCAACGAGAUCUAAGGAUGCUGGCUCUUUGCAAAGCGUGUGGCUGCGCGCUGUAGGGAGCGAGAUCAAAUCAGACCACUAAACAUGUAGAUCUGCCCGGCAAAGGCUUGCGGACGCGGGUUCAAUUCCCGCCAGCUCCACCA